rnacentral:rRNA from 1 species
CCUACGGGAGGCAGCAGUGGGGAAUAUUGCACAAUGGGGGAAACCCUGAUGCAGCGACGCCACGUGGGUGACGAAGUAUUUCGGUAUGUAAAGCCCUAUCAGCAGGGAAGAAGAUGACAGUACCUGACCAAGAAGCCCCGGCUAACUACGUGCCAGCAGCCGCGGUAAUACGUAGGGGGCAAGCGUUAUCCGGAUUUACUGGUUGUAAAGGGAGCGUAGGUGGCAUGGCAAGCCAGAAGUGAAAACCCGGGGCUUAACCCCGCGGAUUGCUUUUGGAACUGUCAGGCUGGAGUGCAGGAGGGGCAGGCGGAAUUCCUGGUGUAGCGGUGAAAUGCGUAGAUAUCAGGAGGAACACCGGUGGCGAAGGCGGCCUGCUGGACUGUAACUGACACUGAGGCUCGAAAGCGUGGGGAGUAAACAGGAUUAGAUACCCUAGUAGUC